GGGCCAGGUAGUCGAGGAACGCCAGGGCGGCCGCCUCGCCGCCGGUGGUGGUCGCGUUGUCGUGGCUGAAGCCGAGGAUCGUGACCGCGCCGGCCAC
rnacentral:tRNA from 1 species